rnacentral:lncRNA from 1 species
GUUACAGAAAACCCAGAUUUGAUGGCCUUUGCCUUGUCCGAAGAACCCACAAGGUCAGAGACACAGUCUAUGGCUCCACAGGCCUGGCCCAUUUGCUAAAAGUGCACCAGCCCCACACACGGGGGCCACCACUUCCCAGAGCCAGGAUGAGAAAUCGAGGGUCAGAGACAUUAGAACAUUUGCUUGGAGCCAAAUUCAAACCCAGGAAGUCUGGCUGUAGAAUCUGUGCCUUUAACCACUACGUUAGACUCUCUCUCUCAAGAGAAUCAAAGACAAGUUCUUCAAAAAGCAAUCCUUUGAGAACUAUUGAGGGGCUCCCAAGAAGAGCAAAAGCACCUGGACUUGGAAAGGAAUCGCACAACAGGAUCAAAAAGCAAAGGCUCAGUCUGCACAGGUUACUACAGGUCACCUGAAGCCACUUCUCUUCUACUUCCAGACACGUGGAGGGUCGUAAUUCCUUGUUUCUCUGACUAGUCAUGGCCAGUAAGGUAUGAGCCGGCUUGACUCUCCAGCCUUCUCUUCCCAGGAUCUGGAAGCUUUGUGUGGAGACGCCAGUGGCAUGAGAUGGAGGAGGCUUCCUCAGCCCCAGGACCUGAGUGACAAAUGAUGGAGGAGUCAUUUGUCACUCAGGUCCUGGGGCCCCUACACCCCGAAUUCUGCACCAAGCUCUGCUGGAUGUGAAGUGCAUGUGAGUAAUAAACCUUUGGUUGAAGCCAAUGACAUAUGACAUUUGGGGCUCUUUUUUACCACAUUUUAAUCCAGGCACUCCUGACUCAUACGAGUGGGUCAGUCAUGUGAGAAAAGAGGCAAUUUCAGGUCUCUGACACUCUGGCAAUCAGUAGGAGUAGGGAGUGAGGAGGAGGGAAGGAUUCUUGGAAACUGCAGAGUAUUGCUACUAAGAUUUCACUGGGAAGAGCGUG